UGAGGACGACUCGCUGACGGCGCUGGCCGCCCGGCUGCUGUCGCAGUGUCGCCGCCAGGGCUGCGCCCGGCCGCGCGCGAGGAACCCGCGCACCGGCGCCACACACGACUACUGCUCGCUGAAGUGCUCCCGCAUGGACAUGCUGGGAGACCUGAUGGACCAGGGCGGCGCCCUGACUGGCGGCUACAACAUGGAGCUGCGCAUCGCUCUGGAGAUGUCACGGCUGCAGCAGCUGGAGGAGCAGAACCUAGCCAAGCAGCGCGGCUUGGGUCAGAGCGUCGGCGCCACGUGGAGCGCUGCGGCAGACGGCGAGCGAGCGGAG